UACAGAGGGUGCAAGCGUUGCUCGGAAUUACUGGGCGUAAAGGGCGCGUAGGCGGAUAUUUAAGUCGGGGGUGAAAGCCCAGGGCUCAACCCUGGAAUUGCCUUCGAUACUGGAUAUCUUGAGUUCGGGAGAGGUGAGUGGAAUGCCGAGUGUAGAGGUGAAAUUCGUAGAUAUUGGGAAGAACACCGGUGGCGAAGGCGGCGACCUGGUCCUUGACUGACGCUGAGGCGCGAAAGCGUGGGGAGCAAACAGG
rnacentral:rRNA from 1 species